UACGGGGGGGGCAAGCGUUGUUCGGAAUUACUGGGCGUAAAGGGCGCGUAGGCGGUCAGCACAAGUCAAUUGUGAAAUCUCCGAGCUUAACUCGGAAAGGUCAACUGAAACUGUGCGACUAGAGUGCGGAAGGGGCAACUGGAAUUCUUGGUGUAGCGGUGAAAUGCGUAGAUAUCAAGAGGAACACCUGCGGCGAAGGCGGGUUGCUGGGCCGACACUGACGCUGAAGCGCGAAAGCCAGGGGAGCGAACGGG
rnacentral:rRNA from 1 species